rnacentral:pre_miRNA from 1 species
CGCGGCGCGGCGAGCGAACAGGUGUAAUAUGCCCGACCACUUAUAUACAUAUCUAAAUUGAAUGAGACAUAAAUGCUAUACAUGAAUCCCUUGCUUCAGUGGCGUCGCUCGCGGCCCACU